UCCUAUACAUGCAAGUCGAGCGGACAGAUGGGAGCUUGCUCCCUGAUGUUAGCGGCGGACGGGUGAGUAACACGUGGGUAACCUGCCUGUAAGACUGGGAUAACUCCGGGAAACCGGGGCUAAUACCGGAUGCUUGAUUGAACCGCAUGGUUCAAUUAUAAAAGGUGGCUUUUAGCUACCACUUACAGAUGGACCCGCGGCGCAUUAGCUAGUUGGUGAGGUAACGGCUCACCAAGGCAACAAUGCGUAGCCAACCUGAGAGGGUGAUCGGCCACACUGGGACUGAAACACGGCCCAAACUCCUACGGGAGGCAGCAGUAGGGAAUCUUCCGCAAUGGACAAAAGUCUGACGGAGCAACGCCGCGUGAGUGAUGAAGGUUUUCGGAUCGUAAAACUCUGUUGUUAGGGAAAAACAAGUACCGUUCGAAUAGGGCGGUACCUUGACGGUACCUAACCAGAAAGCCACGGCUAACUACGUGCCAGCAGCCGCGGUAAUACGUAGGUGGCAAGCGUUGUCCGGAAUUAUUGGGCGUAAAGCGCGCGCAGGCGGUUUCUUAAGUCUGAUGUGAAAGCCCCCGGCUCAACCGGGGAGGGUCAUUGGAAACUGGGGAACUUGAGUGCAGAAGAGGAGAGUGGAAUUCCACGUGUAGCGGUGAAAUGCGUAGAGAUGUGGAGGAACACCAGUGGCGAAGGCGACUCUCUGGUCUGUAACUGACGCUGAGGCGCGAAAGCGUGGGGAGCGAACAGGAUUAGAUACCCUGGUAGUCCACGCCGUAAACGAUGAGUGCUAAGUGUUAGAGGGUUUCCGCCCUUUAGUGCUGCAGCAAACGCAUUAAGCACUCCGCCUGGGGAGUACGGUCGCAAGACUGAAACUCAAAGGAAUUGACGGGGGCCCGCACAAGCGGUGGAGCAUGUGGUUUAAUUCGAAGCAACGCGAAGAACCUUACCAGGUCUUGACAUCCUCUGACAACCCUAGAGAUAGGGCUUCCCCUUCGGGGGCAGAGUGACAGGUGG
rnacentral:rRNA from 2 species